UGUGCCAGGGCUUGCAGGGAGUGACCUGAGAGGAACAGACCUUGCUGAGACUGGAGACAGCCUGCGUGCCCGUCCUCCCAUGGAUGCGAAACGAACCGUGGCCUGUCCGUCCACACAGUGGGCCAUGGCUCAGCGAUAAGGAAGAACACGCUCCUGACACGCCCUGCGGUGGGGCAGUCCCUGAGCUGACAGUGGCCGGGCACAAACCGUGAGCUGUGUGAUCCGUUCCAUCCGUGUGACAUUCCAGGAAAGGCACCCCUGCAGGGGCGGGACUAGGGGAAGUUACUUUUCUAUGAUGCUCCCACCUGGCCAGACCUCUGCGGGUGAACCCGGGCAGGACACCUGAGCACACGCCCUGCUGCGUCCUGGAAGGACAGACAUCCUCCUGCAGAGCCCAGCGUCACUGGAGCGCAGGAAGCCCC